GUUGCUGAAAGUAGCGCCUUUGGCUCCGCCUUAUUUUUUUAAGCUCGGUAACAUUUUAUCAAUGAUUCACUCUGUGAAGUCCUGCCGACCUUCCUUACGAAAACAGACACACUGACCUGACAUCAGCUCCCUGCUUCUGGGACUGGCCUCUGUUUGAGUCCUGUCAGUGUGAACUGAGCAGAACACGGAUCGCCUCAUCCUUCACACAGUACAAACCAGAACUACCAGCUCCUCUGGAUCCUCAGGCUGUCAUCAUAUGAGCAGGUCUGCCAACACACUGAUGGGAGUGGAGCAUAGCACCCAUGCACACUGUAAU